GGGUGCCAUCACCUUCUCCGUGAGGAGAUGCUAGAAGAAGUCUUUUCGAGCCAACCAGACCUCAGAGACAUCCCCUUAAAGUCAACCAGAUGAGACUUAUUACACAGAUGGGACCAGCUACCUGGAACAGGGAUACAGGAAAACUGGAUACAUGGUAAUUACAAAGGAUACAGUAGUCGAGGCAGGAUGACUCCCUACACACUGGUCAGCUCAACAAGCAGAGCUCUAGGCACUUAUAUGUGCCCUAAAAUUGACUAAAGGUAAGAAGGUAAAUAUAUAUACUGACUCACGGUAUGCCUUCACUACCUUACAUGUACAUGGGGCCAUAUAUAAGGAAAGGGGGCUAUUAACUGCAACUGGCAGAGAUAAAAAGAUAAAGAGGAAAUUCUGCUACUGUUGGAAGCAGUGUGGGAUCCCACUGCAGUGGCAGUGAUACACUGUGGGGACCACCAAAGGGCAGACACACCUUAGGCAAAAGGGAACUGUCUGGCCAAUCCAAGCAGCCACCCUAGGACAAUACAGCACCCAAACUUAUGGGGAAGCCUGUGGUGUCCAGCCUACUAACUGCCCAAGUGGCCCCAGUCUAUGACAAGGAAGAAACCACCUGGGCAUGAACUGAGCAAGGAACACUAUGGGAGGACAGAUCGUGGAAACUCUCAGAUGGGAGACUUUCAUCCCCUCUAGGUUGGCAUUUCAAUUGGUUACAGAUGUGGAAAACUUGCAAGAUUUUACAAUUAAAGGGAACCGCUCCAUUUGAACAUCUAGAGGUGGACUUCACUAGAGGUAAAGCCAUGCCAAGGAUACAAAUAUUUGCUGGUGAUGAUAUGUACUUUUACAGAAUAGGCGGAAGCUUAUCCCACCAAGGCUGAGAAAGUCAAGGAAGUGGGCUGAUGUGUGCUGAGAGACCUUAUUCCUAGGUUUUGGUUCCCUCUGAGUAUAGGAUCAGAUAACGGGCCUGCAUUUGUGGCUGAGUUACUCUCAUUGGUAUGCAAAGUAGUAAAUAUUAAAUGGAAAUUACAUACAACAUAUAGGCCACAAAGCUCAGGAAUGGUUGAGGGAAUGAACCAGACAAUCAAGGUGACUUUGGCAAAAUGGGUGCAAGAAACUGGCGCCCCCUGUAUGGACAUGCUGCCAUUAGUGUUAAUGAGGAUCAGAAUGACCCCCCGGUUGCAUGGGUAUUCCCCCUAUGAGAUAAUGUUUGGGAGGCCUCCCCCACUUCUUCAGGACAAAGGGGAAGGAUGGAGGUGUCAUGGCAACUGGAACAAUUGGGGAAGGUGAUCUGUGACAUCACCUGCUAUGUUCAUGAGAAAAUUCCAUUUUGUCUAGGCACUACUAUACACCCAUACUUGCCAGGAGAUUUAGUAUGAGUAGAGGGCUGGAAGCAGCAGAUGUUGUCCCCCACCUGGAACAGGCCAUACACAAUUGUUCUAACCACUUCCACUGCAGUUAAAGUUGCAGGUUAUUCCAGAGUGCUGAGCAGAGGUCCCUGUGUUAUGUAGUUUAUCGUUGUUUAUCGUCAUUUUUGUUUUUUUUUAAAUUGGGGUAUAGUUGAUGUAAAACGUCGUCCUCAUUUCUGCUGCACAACAAGAGGGUAAAAGGCAGGAAGCCCAGAUGUCUCCAAAUGGAGGACACAGACAUUUCUUACCUCUCUCUUAAGCAGCAGGAGGAGACAAAGUGUAAGUGCUAGAUCUUAUUCCCCUUCUCUAUACAAACUUAAAAAGAGGUUUCUUUUAAAAUUCUGUGUUGCCAUGAAGACACCUGGUUCCACCUGAACUUAACUUUUCUCAAACCUUGAGCUGACCAAUGCAUUUUUCCUGUGGAAUUUUUUGUCUUAAGCUAUUUUAAUGAACUGUGUAUUUACCCUAGACUCUGUCUUCAAGUUGAUUCUGCUGAAGACUCAGAAUAGUCAUGAGAUAUUACAACAGGUGUAUGGACCAAAUCAGUCUUUACAUAAUCUGCUGCAACUGACUCAGACAGUCUAUUACAGCAGGGAAUAUGAGGAAAAGAAAGAUAGGCAGAAAAAGACAAAGAAACAGGCAGAAGCCCUUGUAAUGACUGUUAGAACCGUUCUUAAACAGCCUGAGAAAACUGCCCAGAGGGACCCAGGUGAAAAAGGAUGGGCUUGCUAUUACUGUGGAAAGGAGGGGCACCUCAAGCGGGAUUGCCCUCAGGCA